rnacentral:lncRNA from 1 species
CACCACGCGCAGCAGCGAGCACCAAGCAGAGCAGGGGAGAGAGCAGAGCGCCAGCAGCCGUCCGAUCCUUCGCCGCAAAAGCAAGAGGCUGAUCCGAUGGCUCUCGCUCUCUCCGGCUCUUCCGCGCUCCGCGCCGCCCUGUCCACGCUGGCCCCGAGGGCCUCGGCCACCAGGGGCUACGCGGCGUCGGCGGCGUACGGGGCCAUGCGGCGGGCGGCUGCGGCCGCGGAGGGCGCCGCCGCGGGGGAGGCCAAGGAGGCCGGGCGCGGCGCCGCCGCCGAGAUCUCGUGGGUCCCCGACCCCGUCACGGGCCACUACCGCCCCGCCAACUGGGCCGCCGCCGCCGACCCCGCCGACCUCCGCGCCGCGCACCUCGCCCGCACCUACGCCAGGGCGU